GGUGAAUUGGGGAAAAUCAACUACAAGGAUUUUCUACGGAAUUAGAAACCCGGUUGAGAUGUAGUCUAGUGUGGGCUCUUGUAGCCCGAUGAGCGCUGAGAGCUCAUCUGAGUUGUGUUUCCAGUGUUGGAUUAUAAUGACUAUGUGCAGAUCCUGCUUGAUGAUGACCCCUACGCUCCUGCUCCUCCUGCUCCUCCUGCUCCGCCCUCUCCGAAGUAUACUGUCUAGAACAACUCCUUUUUUGUGUGAAUAUCUUUUGUAGCCUAGUAUGGCUAACAAGUUGUGAACAACUUAAACUUUCAUGUUUUUGGACCCAAUGGGUCGAUCCUUGUAUAUAUAGUAGUAGCUAACCUAACUACCUUCCUUCCUUCCCGCUGCAAUAUAUACGUAAAGCUUUUGUCAAGUA